rnacentral:rRNA from 1 species
AGUUUAUUAUUUAAGGUCUGGCCUGCCCAAUGAUUAAAUUUAAUGGCCGCAGUAUUUUGACUGUGCAAAGGUAGCAUAAUCAUUAGUUUCUUAAUUAGGAACUGGAAUGAAUGGUCGGAUGAGGAAAGAGCUGUCUCAGGUUAAUUUUUAAAGAAUUUUAUUUUUAAGUUAAAAAGCUUAAAUUUUGUUUAAAGACGAGAAGACCCUAUAGAGUUUUAUAGUAAUAAAUUUUUAAUUGUUAAGGAUUUUUUAAUUUUAAAUUAAUUUAUUAUUUUGUUGGGGUGAUGGAAAAAUUUAUUUAACUUUUUUUUUAUUAUACACUAGUUUGUGGGGUUUUGAUCCAUAUAUUUAUGAUUAAUAGAUUAAAUUACCUUAGGGAUAACAGCGUAAUUUUUAUGGAGAGUUCUUAUCGAUAUAAAAGUUUGCGACCUCGAUGUUGGAUUAAAA